CCUACGGGAGGCUGCAGUGAGGAAUAUUGGUCAAUGGACGAGAGUCUGAACCAGCCAAGUAGCGUGAAGGAUGACUGCCCUAUGGGUUGUAAACUUCUUUUAUAUGGGAAUAAAAUGUUCCACGUGUGGGAUUUUGUAUGUACCAUAUGAAUAAGGAUCGGCUAACUCCGGGCCAGCAGCCGCGGUAAUACGGAGGAUCCGAGCGUUAUCCGGAUUUAUUGGGUUUAAAGGGAGCGUAGGUGGAUUGUUAAGUCAGUUGUGAAAGUUUGCGGCUCAACCGUAAAAUUGCAGUUGAAACUGGCAGUCUUGAGUACAGUAGAGGUGGGCGGAAUUCGUGGUGUAGCGGUGAAAUGCUUAGAUAUCACGAAGAACCCCGAUUGCGAAGGCAGUUCACUGGACUGCAACUGACACUGAGGCUCGAAAGUGUGGGUAUCAAACAGGAUUAGAUACCCGAGUAGUC
rnacentral:rRNA from 1 species